GAAAUACUAUCUGGGCUGAAACAUUAAAGUGCGAUUUUUAUUUUCCUUUCAUGGCUUACUUCUAUCUCAGCGUAAUUGUCCCCGUAGUCUAGUUUAAAAUUGCAACACCUCAUUUACCUUUGAUUAUUUUUUGUCACAGGAGACGCAGUCCCCCUCCAUGUAAGAAGUACAUGGUUUCCGCCAACUUAGAGACGAUUUUUUUUGUUGUUGUUAUAACAAUAACAAAGAAACAUGCGAAAAAAUACAUUAACAUUCGGGGUGUGUGGGAGAGAUGUGAAGUGGUAAAUGAUUCUGUCUUCCUUUUUCAUCUGAAGAAGUGUGAAAGGAGAAAUUAAGCUUGAAUGCGAUCUUCUUGGAAUCAAGUGAUCGCUUGUGAAAAUUGGAACAUUUACUACAUUUAUACAACUACAUGAGAGCACAUCAUUGAAAGAUCAAAUAUGGAUCUAAUACCAAGAUAAAUCAGAGCUCCUACACAGUGGCCCAGGUUGUAUAAAACCACUGAGACUUGAGACAUCAUCUGUCAGCUGCCUGAUAAUCAUUGUUAUUACGAAUUUUAUUACCUUCAGUAUUUGAGUGAUGAAUUAUAUGCAAAUUGAACAGUUCAGCCGUGAAAAUAGAAUGCUGAAAAUAUCUUUGAAAACAAUCUAUACCGAAAAACUGGAGAAUAUUAAAAUUAUUGCAAAAAUAUGUAAUACAUUAUGUAUUAAGUUACACCAAAAUUAUUUAGAUUAAAAAAUUA